rnacentral:rRNA from 1 species
UCAGGAUGAACGCUGGCGGCGUGCUAACACAUGCAAGUCGACGAAGCAUUUACGGAACAUUUCGGAUGGAAGUUAAAUAGACUGAGUGGCGGACGGGUGAGUAACGCGUGGAUAACCUACCAUAUACAGGGGGACAACAGUUGGAAACGACUGCUAAUACCGCAUAAGCGCACAGUGCCGCAUGGCACGGUGUGAAAAACUCCGGUGGUAUAUGAUGGAUCCGCGUCUGAUUAGCUAGUUGGUGAGGUAACGGCCCACCAAGGCAACGAUCAGUAGCCGACCUGAGAGGGUGACCGGCCACAUUGGGACUGGGACACGGCCCAAACUCCUACGGGAGGCAGCAGUGGGGAAUAUUGCACAAUGGGCGAAAGCCUGAUGCAGCCGACGCCGCGUGAGCGAAGAAGUAUUUCGGUAUGUAAAGCUCUAUCAGCAGGGAAGAAAAUGACGGUACCUGACUAAGAAGCCCCGGCUAACUACGUGCCAGCAGCAGC